GAGACGGGGCUGUCCCACCCCAGAGGUGGCUGCAUCUCGGCGCCAGGCGAGGGGUCCCUGGAUAAACAGCCCCUGCGCCCUGCCCCAGAGGUGGCUGCAUCUCGGAGGCGGGCGAGGGGUCCCUGGAUAACCAG